rnacentral:rRNA from 1 species
CACGUGCUACAAUGGCAUAUACAAUGAGAGGCAAUACCGCGAGGUGGAGCAAAUCUAUAAAAUAUGUCUUAGUUCGGAUUGUUCUCUGCAACUCGAGAGCAUGAAGCCA